rnacentral:rRNA from 1 species
AGCGAGGGGGGGAGGGAACGGCGCACCAAGGCAACGAGACGGAGCCGACCGGAGAGGGGGAUCGGC